rnacentral:misc_RNA from 1 species
GCAGAAGGAUCAUUAGUGAAGAUUUGGGCAGGCCAUACGGACGCCAGUGUCCCUGGCCGCCUACACCCACUAUACAUCCACAAACCCGUGUGCACUGUCUUGGAGAAAGGCUUCAGAGAAGUUUUUUGUGGCCUCUCUUGGGGUCUUUCUUCGCUACAAACUCGAAUGGUUAGUAUGAACGUGGAACUUGGUUGGACCGUCACUGGCCAACAAACUAUACACAACUUUCGACAACGGAUCUCUUGGUUCUCCCA